rnacentral:rRNA from 1 species
GUGAACGCUGGCGGUAGGCCUAACACAUGCAAGUCGAACGGCAGCACAGUAAGAGCUUGCUCUUACGGGUGGCGAGUGGCGGACGGGUGAGGAAUACAUCGGAAUCUACUUUUUCGUGGGGGAUAACGUAGGGAAACUUACGCUAAUACCGCAUACGACCUACGGGUGAAAGCAGGGGAUCUUCGGACCUUGCGCGAUUGAAUGAGCCGAUGUCGGAUUAGCUAGUUGGCGGGGUAAAGGCCCACCAAGGCGACGAUCCGUAGCUGGUCUGAGAGGAUGAUCAGCCACACUGGAACUGAGACACGGUCCAGACUCCUACGGGAGGCAGCAGUUGGGAAUAUUGGACAAUGGGCGCAAGCCUGAUCCAGCCAUACCGCGUGGGUGAAGAAGGCCUUCGGGUUGUAAAGCCCUUUUGUUGGGAAAGAAAAGCAGCAGGUUAAUACCCCGCUGUUCUGACGGUACCCAAAGAAUAAGCACCGGCUAACUUCGUG